AUUGUGCUAAGUCCUUUUCAUUAAUAGUUUGAGAGAGUGUAUGAAGGUCAUUUAUUAUGAUUUUCCAUAAAUAAUAGUUUUGUGAUUGAAUAAAAAUGCGCAUGCGUAUUUUCCAAUGUGUAUAGUUUAUGCCAUUAAAUAGUGGAGGUGUAUCAAUUGAUUGUCCUUCUCUUAGAAAACUAUCUAUUUGAGUUGUUAUGAUCUUUGGCUCUUGAUCGUAAGAUCAAUGAUUAAACUUAGAGCACCUGCUCUGAUACCACUUGUUGCCCAGUAGAUACAACCCAAGAGGGGGGGUGAAUUGGGUCUUUUAAAACUUUUAACCUACUUCUAAAAGUUUUGAUGAAUUAUGCUAAGUUGUAUAGAUGCACAGUGAAAGUUAAACUUAGCAACAGUUUGAUGUAUAGAAUGUGACUAGAUUGAAUAUGCUUGCAACUAAAGGAUGCGCGGAUAAGAGUUAAGCAAGCAGUUUAUCUAAGCAAGUAAGUGUGUUAGUUAGACAAUGACAAGAGGCAUUACAAACACAAUAAACAUAUAGUGGUUCGGUGCACCCCAGCACCUACAUCCACUCCCCAAGACCUCUUGGGAAUUUCACUAUAAUCCUACAGAUUACAGCCGGUUGUUUUACAAGCUCACAACCCAACUUGUUGUUU
rnacentral:lncRNA from 1 species